rnacentral:rRNA from 1 species
GAUGAACGCUGGCGGCGUGCCUAAUACAUGCAAGUCGAGCGAACGGACGAGAAGCUUGCUUCUCUGAUGUUAGCGGCGGACGGGUGAGUAACACGUGGAUAACCUACCUAUAAGACUGGGAUAACUUCGGGAAACCGGAGCUAAUACCGGAUAAUAUUUUGAACCGCAUGGUUCAAAAGUGAAAGACGGUCUUGCUGUCACUUAUAGAUGGAUCCGCGCUGCAUUAGCUAGUUGGUAAGGUAACGGCUUACCAAGGCAACGAUGCAUAGCCGACCUGAGAGGGUGAUCGGCCACACUGGAACUGAGACACGGUCCAGACUCCUACGGGCGGCAGCAGUAGGGAAUCUUCCGCAAUGGGCGAAAGCCUGACGGAGCAACGCCGCGUGAGUGCUGAAGGUCUUCGGAUCGUAAAACUCUGUUAUUAGGGAAGACCAUAUGUGUAAGUAACUGUGCACAUCUUGACGGUACCUAAUCAGAAAGCCACGGCUAACUACGUG